UUCGGUCAAGACUGACGUGUAAUGGGUCCUGUAUGAAGUCGGUGCUCGCAGCCUUCCCAACGCCGCCUCACUUGACGUCGCGCUCGCGCCCCAGUCUUUCACCAGCUCUGAUAGGGGUCAGUUUGGACUACUGUUUGCGGCCUUGUGACCUCGUCAUUACAACUAUUACUUGUUCUUGUCAAGAUGCCCAAACGAAAGUGUAAAUUCACUGCAGAGAAGCAGAACAAACUCCCGUGCUUCAAAAAAGGCAGGGAUGAGUGGGAAGCCGAGUGUUUGGUGUGUAAACCAGGAACAUUUGUCUCAUUGGCACAUAAAGACAUUAAUGACUUACAGUCACAUGUGAGCUCCGAGAAACAUAAGAGAGCAAUGCAAGAAGAGGGUUCAUCAAUGAAGAUGACACAUUAUUUUAUUAUCAGCUAUAUGCAAAGGGCUAUGACUGCUGAGUGGAGUGCAGGAGGCAGCUACUGAACCUUACAAGAGAAGAGUCACCAUGUGUCACUAGGUUUAGGUCCCGAUUCUCCACCUGAAUGGAGUCUAUGCAUCCUCGGAAGCCCUGGUAGUAGGCUGGAGGCAGACCACGUGGCAUCUUUGGAGACCCACCUGUGCAGCAUAAAAAAAGAGUUUGCCAUUGGUGUUGAGUGUGGUAGAGCCGCGGUUAGCAAGGCCCUUGACUGGACGUUCGUUGUCGACUCUGAGGACUCCGAGGCGCUUCCGUCGGUGCACUACCAGCACGUGCCACUGACCAUCAUCCACACGCACCUGGGGGCACAAGACAACAAUGAGAACUUGCCAGUGUAUGGAGCAAGGCAUUUGCACAAGAAUCUGUUACGGAAGGGAUGACAAACUCCACCAUUUUCACAAGGAUUCAUCUGACAAGGUGGUCCACGGUACCUGUGUGUUGUGUAAAUCUUUAGUGUGAUUCUUAACAUAAAGUCCUAGUUCUUCCUCUCCAAUGUUAGGAUGCUGCACAAAAGAUUUAAUAAAAUCAAUCCGUGAAAAAUAGAGCCCAUUUUAAAUUUCUGAAACACCCUUAUAUUUUCACGUAAAAACAUUUCCUAAUUUGAAAAGUAUAAAAUAUUUAACAUCUUUUUUUUCCACUUACCUACGAACUCCUCUUCCACCAGUUGCUCUCUCAUCAAGGUUGUCAUAAACUUCAGAGUUGACAAGCAAUCUCUGGAUGGCUCCAUUAAGACCCAUGGUUACUCCUGAGUCAGGAUGUGCAGUUGUAUAAUUCCUGUUGAAGAAGUUUACCUCAUCAAUUUUGGCUUGUUGAGAGGCAAAUUUUUAGCAAUGCAUUUUCGUGCUUAUAAUUGAGGCUUAUCUUGAUACAGUAGACUUUAGUAAUAAUGUUUAAAAAAUUGUUGACUGAAUGAUGAAUUCUCAUGACUUAAGUAUCUAAAAGAAUGUGAGAUUUAAUUAUAUUUUUAAGACUCCAUACAUGUUUGCAUGUUUUGGCUGUGUUAACUUUAUGAUGGCUCAUGAUGCUGCACUAUCUCUAACAACCUCUCCCCAUAACCCUACAUAUCUAAGAUCCUACACACUCACUUCAUUCCAGAUUAUCUGCCAGUAAUACCUGAGUGCAGCUGGUAGUUUUUAAAUAGAGACCUAAAAAAACACUGUAUUUUAAGCAUGCUCAUUCAUGUUACCAUUUAACAAACACAAAUACUAUUGUCAGAUUACUGCUAACAAGCAAUAUUCUAUCGCAAACUGCCUCUAACAGAGAGGGUCAGUUUGCUUCCAAGUCAUACUCUAAUACAAGAAAUUUAAAGCCUAAUGUGGGGAUGGGCCACAACAAACCACAGAGAAGUCUGUAACACAGAACAUGGUAAUACUAAUGUCAGGGAUGUGAGUGUGUCACCAGCACUGCUGCCAGCCCUGCCACCACCACCAUCAUGCACAAUAAUGUGAGCUUAGUGAGAAAAAGGGCGGGCUGCUGCUGCUGCCACCAUUCACAGUGAUAUCAACAGUGAGCAUUCAUCAGCUAUGUAUGUAAACAAUGCCUCAGUGUGUUUUUUUUUUAUCACUGUUACUAUAUUGUAACAGUUUUUAUUCAUUAUCCUUUUUAUUUUUAUGAACUCCUAUGUAUCUAAAACCCUAAGUUGUAUGCUUGAAAAAAAAAAAAAAAAAUUUUACACAUAGUCUUGAAAUAUUUUAUUUAAAUUUUUGAGGGGUUUGUAUCAGCCAGGUCAGAACCAUAGUUGUUUUCUGCUAAUAUUUUCAUCAAAACUCUACCACGAAUCAUGUCUAACACAGGCCGAUAGCAAAACUGAAUCCCCAUGUUGGCAGCGACCUGACUCAACAUAGAAAAAAAGUUAACAGUUACAAGAAGUAAUACAAUAAUGGCAGACAAAUAUAACAUUUUGUAAAGUGAGAGUACAAGAACACAUUUAAAUUUUGAAGAUAUGUUCAUUAGGAAUAAAAGCAGAGGUUUAAUUUAACUUACUCAAGCCCUCCAAGAUAAAGUGGCUGGUUAAGAUUGAGCUCCUUAAGGCGUGGUCCACUCUUCCCCAUCACUCGGUGACCACGAUUCACCCUCAGGAUGCCUCUUCUCUUUUUCCUGCGUACCCUCACCACAUGCCAUGUGUUGAGGGGGAUGCGGGUAGGGCUCCUAUAAGCAGGGGGAUGAGGGAAGGAUACAAUUAGAGUAAAUGGUUUCUUCUUACAUUACUCUGGUCCUUCAGGAUUGUGAUACAUGACAGGUUGCAUACUGAAAUAAUGUGUGUUUUAUACUUUAUAAUCUUACUCAUCCUUAUUUCACUAUUUUUCAUAAAUACAAUAGGUUUUACUUUGAUAUGUGUACAGACAGCAAUGAAAUUACUGUAUUGUGUGUUUAUGGAUAAAAAGUUACACAACAAUGGGGAGGAUAUGAAUAGGGUACAAAGUGAUUUAUCUGAGGGUAGAUCUUGCAUACUCUCUUUCUCUGGAGCUGCAAAUUCCUUAGCACAGACAAGACGACAUUUAUGGGCAUCAAUCAAGCUCUUUACUGGUCAAUGUGAAGAAGCAUAAAACAAUAGGAUAACAAACAAUAUUCAAAUGCAAACACAAAUGUGUGAAAAAUUAGGGAAAUAAGGAAUGGAAUAUAAUUAGCUAAAUAAGAUAAUUCUAAACAAAUAUUUUUGAAGGGAUGAGCAUUCAUCUUGUGUGUGAUGUACAAGGGGCUGGUGGGGUGACAAAACAUGUGUAGAGGCACAAGAAAACCAGGUACAGUAAAUAAAUGCAUUCAGCUUUUUGGGAAUAACAUUAUUUGUCCUCUUGCAGAUGUAUGAAUGAAAGUCAAGGUAAAGAUGUUCAUGGUUUCCUCUUUUUUGUAGUGCAUUUGGGAGUUCGAACAGGUGGUGACUGAGUACAGGUGUGGACUUAAGAUUGUCAGGAUGAGACAAUAGUGAUCAGUUAUAGACUUGAUACUAUAAUAAACAAAGUAACAGAUGAAAUAACAUUUGAUGCAUGUUAUACAUAUAUACAUAUAGUAAAAAGGCAAUUUGUCUUGUUGAUUUUUGGGAAGUCAGAUUAGUUAAUCGAAAACUUUGCUUCAUAGGACCUGGUAAAAUUUAGAUUGCAAGUUUUUUUUUCUGAGUAACUAAAGGUAAAAUCAAUUGUGUUCAUUUUGAAGUGAAACACUUCUAUCAGCAUCAUUCAUAUUCUUGUAUCCAGCAUUCCCAUGACAGUCUCAAGACCCCAGCCACCAUGAGUCCACACUGGAGCGUGAAAGUGGAUCAAAAUAAUAAUACUGGUAAGUAAUAAAUUAAAUUGUGCCAGAGUAAGUUCAGGAACAAAGUGUACUUGUUCAUGUUGCUCACUCUGACCUGCAGUUUACCACCUACACCAGUGGAUCCACUACUUACUUCAGCCUGAAUCUGAAACAACACAUGAUAAUUGGUGAUUCUACUGUGACAAGCUGAUCUAAAUGUGUCACAUUUACUAAAAACCUGAGCAACAACUGACAAAGCAUGGAAGUGGUAAACACCAGACACUCCUGAAGGGUGCAGUGUUUCUAAGCAUACACUGUGAAAAUAUUAUUUACAAUGAUUAUAUAGUGUUAAUCAUGAUUUAACUUUUUCUUUUUUACAUGAACUUUCACAAUAUUUUCUUGACAAUGAAAAAGCUUUUUUGAGACCAGUGAUAUAUUCAUGGAAAACUGUACAAAUAGUACUUCCCAAAGAGCAUAAUGCUGGUCCUCCACCAUCAAGUUCUAAACAAACCCUGCUCCCUAUAGUAAGGCACAACAGCACUCUUGACUAAACGAAAGACUAAAUGCAACAUAUCUAAAAAUUGCAUAAAAAUACCAUUUAAACAUUAUUGGAGAAUAUAAAGAGAAAUGAAAUUUAAACACAAUGGCACUCACACAAGGGUUGCAAGGCCAGAGCCCAGAUUGUAGGAGAACUCAACGUGUCCAUUGCGAAGAUUGAGGGCAAUGAAGUCUCCUCCACCACCCAUCUGUCCAUUGUAGAGGAGGACCCCAUCAGGAGAGCGUGUGAGGAACCACAGUUCCAGCACCAAGGAGUGACCCACAUUCUCCAGAGUGGGUAGUUCAAGUGUGCCGGUUCUACCAGGUGGACACUUGCAUAGGAAUCCCUCAGUGGGCAAAGUGACACAAGUUGCUCCUGCUAGACAAGGCUGGCUCUCACAAGGAUCAAGUCUCACCUCACAUCGAUCACCUGAAGAGGACAAG